UAUAUAUAUAGAACAAAAAGAGGAGAGAGGGAGAGAGAAAGGCGGCAUUGCUUCAGGGGACAAAUGAAGAUCAGAUCAGUAAUGGCCAGCUGCUCCCUCCCCUUCCGUGUGCUUCUUUUGAUUCUUACUCUCUCAGAUUCUGUCAGCCAAAUCCUUGGCCUUGACAUGGGAAUAAACUAUGGCCAGAUUGCCAACAAUCUUCCAUCUCCCUCUCGUGUUGCCGUCCUACUAGGCUCUAUCAACAUAAGUAGAGUAAAACUCUACGAUGCCGAUCCAAAAGUUCUUGGGGCCUUCUCCUAUUCAAAUGUGGAGUUCAUCAUUGGACUCGGAAACGAGUAUCUUUCAGAUAUGACUGACCCCAACAAAGCUCUGGCUUGGAUAGAACAGAAUGUUCAACCAUACGUAUCGCAAACAAAGAUCACCUGCAUCACUGUGGGAAACGAGGUCUUCUCCAGCAAUGACACUCAGUCAUGGCCAUAUCUUCUACCGUCUAUGCAGGCCAUGUAUAAUGCUCUUGUUAAUCUUGGGCUAGAUAAAGAAGUAAUGGUCACAACUGCGCAUUCUCUUAAUAUCUUAGCCAACUCCUUCCCUCCUUCCUCUGGAUCAUUUCAGGAAAAUCUUGCACAAUACAUCCAACCCCUUCUCAAUUUUCAUUCUCAGACAAAUUCACCCUUUCUUGUUAAUGCAUAUCCCUAUUUUGCAUACAAAGGUAGCCCAGAUCAAGUUUCGUUAGAAUAUGUGCUUUUCGAGCCAAACCAAAAUAUGACUGAUCCGAAUACAAAUUUGGCCUAUGAUAAUAUGUUAUAUGCCCAAAUAGAUGCUGUUUAUUCGGCAAUCAAGUUAAUGGGACAUACGGAUAUUGAAGUUAAGAUUUCUGAGACAGGUUGGCCAUCUAAGGGAGAUCCUGAUGAAGCAGGUGCUACGGUAGAAAAUGCAGCACUAUAUAAUGGUAAUUUGUUGAAAAGAAUACAAGCCAAGGAAUGUACUCCAGCAAAACCAACAGUCCCAAUCGACGUUUAUGUGUUUGCACUUUUCAAUGAGGAUCAAAAGCCAGGCCCGGCAUCAGAAAGGAACUACGGGCUCUUUUAUCCUGAUGGCAAUCCAGUUUAUGAUAUCGGGUUACAAGGUUACCUUCCACAGAUAGGUUUGGCUUUUAAGAUUAAUGCUUUGUCCUCGUUUAGCCUAUUAAUCUUUGUUGCAGCAUGGUUAAUUUGUGGUUGAGAUUCUGUUAACUCAUCACACAACUGGAGGGGAAGAAGUGAUAAAAAGGAGUUACAGUUCCCGGAUACCAUUACCAUUCAAACAUCCCUUGUAAUGUUGCGGAAAGUGAUUAUAGAGUUGGGUUUCAUUCAGGCGUAGAAAUUUUCUCACAGGAAAAAAAACUUCUGAAUCAAUCACCAACAUGAAAAAAAGGAUGACAUGCUUCGUUGUACGUCAGCAUGGCAAAGGUGAUAAGAAUGACAGCUAGAAAUUCCUCUGGAUGAUUAAGCCUGGUGACCAGGCAAGCAACCGUCCAAGCUUAUAAAAGUGGGAAAAAAUUAAAAACUAAUAGUCAGCUUACUUAACUGCUUUGUCAUCUAUAUGAGGGUUUGUGUACGAUGGAACCUGUAAAGAAGAGGUGGCCUCAAAUUUAUGCUUCAAAAUUAAAACCCUUGUUUAGCUUUAUCAAUCCUGAGCAGGAUAGUGGUCCAUCUAUAGCAUUUUUUUGGUCGAAUCAUUCAUGGUGUUUGUUGUUAUCGAGUGUUACCAAUUGUUGGCAGUGGGAAAACACAAACAAGC